rnacentral:rRNA from 1 species
CUACGGGUCGCACCAGUGGGGAAUCUUGGACAAUGGGCGCAAGCCUGAUCCAGCCAUGCCGCGUGAGUGAAGAAGGCCUUAGGGUCGUAAAGCUCUUUCGCCAGAGAUGAUAAUGACAGUAUCUGGUAAAGAAACCCCGGCUAACUCCGUGCCAGCAGCCGCGGUAAUACGGGGGGGGUUAGCGUUGUUCGGAAUUACUGGGCGUAAAGCGCGCGUAGGCGGAUUAGUCAGUCAGAGGUGAAAUCCCAGGGCUCAACCCUGGAACUGCCUUUGAUACUGCUAGUCUUGAGUUCGGGAGAGGUGAGUGGAAUUCCGAGUGUAGAGGUGAAAUUCGUAGAUAUUCGGAGGAACACCAGUGGCGAAGGCGGCUCACUGGCUCGAUACUGACGCUGAGGUGCGAAAGUGUGGGGAGCAAACAGGAUUAGAUACCCCGGUAGUC